UUGCUGAAGUUAUGGAUCCAUCAUUAAGAAUGUGAAUUUGGGAGACAAAUAGCUUUGGGAUUCAAACCCUAGGGUAAAAUGAAGAAGAAUGAGAAUAUGGGAGAAAAAUAGUUGAGACUCAAAUCCUAGGCUCUAAUGAAGGAGAAGAAGAAGAGAGUAGAGAGUAGGGACUUCAACCAUAGACUCUCAAAUCAUAAGAAAGAGAAGAAGAGAAAGAUG
rnacentral:misc_RNA from 1 species